UUAAGCGACUAAGCGUACACGGUGGAUGCCCUGGCAGUCAGAGGCGAUGAAGGACGUGCUAAUCUGCGAUAAGCGUCGGUAAGGUGAUAUGAACCGUUAUAACCGGCGAUUUCCGAAUGGGGAAACCCAGUGUGUUUCGACACACUAUCAUUAACUGAAUCCAUAGGUUAAUGAGGCGAACCGGGGGAACUGAAACAUCUAAGUACCCCGAGGAAAAGAAAUCAACCGAGAUUCCCCCAGUAGCGGCGAGCGAACGGGGAGCAGCCCAGAGCCUGAAUCAGUGUGUGUGUUAGUGGAAGCGUCUGGAAAGGCGUGCGAUACAGGGUGACAGCCCCGUACACAAAAAUGCACAUGCUGUGAGCUCGAUGAGUAGGGCGGGACACGUGGUAUCCUGUCUGAAUAUGGGGGGACCAUCCUCCAAGGCUAAAUACUCCUGACUGACCGAUAGUGAACCAGUACCGUGAGGGAAAGGCGAAAAGAACCCCGGCGAGGGGAGUGAAAAAGAACCUGAAACCGUGUACGUACAAGCAGUGGGAGCACGCUUAGGCGUGUGACUGCGUACCUUUUGUAUAAUGGGUCAGCGACUUAUAUUCUGUAGCAAGGUUAACCGAAUAGGGGAGCCGAAGGGAAACCGAGUCUUAACUGGGCGUUAAGUUGCAGGGUAUAGACCCGAAACCCGGUGAUCUAGCCAUGGGCAGGUUGAAGGUUGGGUAACACUAACUGGAGGACCGAACCGACUAAUGUUGAAAAAUUAGCGGAUGACUUGUGGCUGGGGGUGAAAGGCCAAUCAAACCGGGAGAUAGCUGGUUCUCCCCGAAAGCUAUUUAGGUAGCGCCUCGUGAAUUCAUCUCCGGGGGUAGAGCACUGUUUCGGCAAGGGGGUCAUCCCGACUUACCAACCCGAUGCAAACUGCGAAUACCGGAGAAUGUUAUCACGGGAGACACACGGCGGGUGCUAACGUCCGUCGUGAAGAGGGAAACAACCCAGACCGCCAGCUAAGGUCCCAAAGUCAUGGUUAAGUGGGAAACGAUGUGGGAAGGCCCAGACAGCCAGGAUGUUGGCUUAGAAGCAGCCAUCAUUUAAAGAAAGCGUAAUAGCUCACUGGUCGAGUCGGCCUGCGCGGAAGAUGUAACGGGGCUAAACCAUGCACCGAAGCUGCGGCAGCGACGCUGAUGCGUUGUUGGGUAGGGGAGCGUUCUGUAAGCCUGCGAAGGUGUGCUGUGAGGCAUGCUGGAGGUAUCAGAAGUGCGAAUGCUGACAUAAGUAACGAUAAAGCGGGUGAAAAGCCCGCUCGCCGGAAGACCAAGGGUUCCUGUCCAACGUUAAUCGGGGCAGGGUGAGUCGACCCCUAAGGCGAGGCCGAAAGGCGUAGUCGAUGGGAAACAGGUUAAUAUUCCUGUGCUUGGUGUUACUGCGAAGGGGGGACGGAGAAGGCUAUGUUGGCCGGGCGACGGUUGUCCCGGUUUAAGCGUGUAGGCUGGUUUUCCAGGCAAAUCCGGAAAAUCAAGGCUGAGGCGUGAUGACGAGGCACUACGGUGCUGAAGCAACAAAUGCCCUGCUUCCAGGAAAAGCCUCUAAGCAUCAGGUAACAUCAAAUCGUACCCCAAACCGACACAGGUGGUCAGGUAGAGAAUACCAAGGCGCUUGAGAGAACUCGGGUGAAGGAACUAGGCAAAAUGGUGCCGUAACUUCGGGAGAAGGCACGCUGAUAUGUAGGUGAAGUCCCUCGCGGAUGGAGCUGAAAUCAGUCGAAGAUACCAGCUGGCUGCAACUGUUUAUUAAAAACACAGCACUGUGCAAACACGAAAGUGGACGUAUACGGUGUGACGCCUGCCCGGUGCCGGAAGGUUAAUUGAUGGGGUCAGCGCAAGCGAAGCUCUUGAUCGAAGCCCCGGUAAACGGCGGCCGUAACUAUAACGGUCCUAAGGUAGCGAAAUUCCUUGUCGGGUAAGUUCCGACCUGCACGAAUGGCGUAAUGA
rnacentral:rRNA from 1 species